rnacentral:rRNA from 1 species
AGCAGCCGCGGUAAUUCCAGCUCCAAUAGCGUAUAUUAAAGUUGUUGCAGUUAAAAAGCUCGUAGUUGAAUUUCGGGAUCAAUAUAUUGGUCGUGCCUCCGGUAUGCACUGGUAUCAUUGAUUUCUACCUUCUGACGAACUAUGAUGUCAUUAAUUUGGUGUCAUAGGGAAUCAGGACUGUUACUUUGAAAAAAUUAGAGUGUUUAAAGCAGGCACACGCUUGAAUACAUUAGCAUGGAAUAAUGAAAUAGGACGUUUGACCCUAUUUUGUUGGUUUCUAGGAUCGACGUAAUGAUUAAUAGGGAUAGUUGGGGGCAUUAGUAUUCAAUUGUCAGAGGUGAAAUUCUUGGAUUUAUUGAAGACUAACUACUGCGAAAGCAUUUGCCAAGGAUGUUUUCAUUAAUCAAGAACGAAAGUUAGGGGAUCGAAGACGAUCAGAUACCGUCGUAGUCUUAACCAUAAACUAUGCCGACUAGGGAUCGGAUGAUGUUAAUUUUUUAAUGACUC